rnacentral:misc_RNA from 1 species
AAGUCUCGCGUCAUUCUUCACGCGUCGGUGUGUGCACUCUUUUUUCGGUGAUUUCUCCGACCGCGCCUCUUGCCGACGACCUUCCCUGUCUGGCGCGCCUCUAACCAACGUGUUUCCACACCUGAUUUGCACAUUUAUUUUUUUGAUACCUUCUGUUGUCCAGUUUCUUGCUUUCUGCCUCAAUACCUAUUCCUUUAAUUGAAAAAUGACCGAUGGAAAGAAGGAAGCCUCUGAAACAAAGGUUGGAUUUGUUGGUGAUAAUCCCUAUUUACAAAUUAAUCCUAUAAAGUUGGAUGGAACUAAUUAUUUGGCAUGGUCUAGAUCUUGUCUACUGUUCAUUCAGGCUAGAGGACUGCAGGGGUAUAUCACUGGAGAUAGAAAAAAGCCAGAAAGUACUAGUUCUACCUACAGCCAGUGGGAGUCGGAGAACUCUCUUGUUAUGUCAUGGCUCAUCAAUUCUAUGCAACCUCAUAUAGCUCGUGGGUAUUUACUGUUGAAUAGUGCAGCUACCAUUUUGAGUGCAGUUUCUCAUACCUACUGUCACGUUGAGAACGAUGCACAAGUGUAUGAGCUUCGAAAUAAAGUUCAUGGUAUGAAACAGGGUGAGCUAACUAUUGCUCAAUAUUAUGCAGAAUUGAGUGGUCUAUGGCAGGAACUGGACUUUUACCAGGACUUUCAGGCCUCAUGUCCUGAAGAUGCUGUUAAAUUUCAGAAGUUGGUUGAGAAAGAGCGGAUCUAUGAUUUUCUUGCUGGGUUGAAUAUGGAAUAUGAUCAAAUUAGGGUCCAAGUGCUUGGGAAGGAUCCUUUACCUACCUUAAGACAGACAUACUCUUAUGUUCAGCAGGAGGAGAGCAGA